rnacentral:rRNA from 1 species
AAUAGACUACCCAGGUAGUCCUGGCCCUAAACGAUGUCCACUAGAUUACGGCGCCUUUGACGGCGUCGUGGUCGAAGCAAAAGUGUUAAGUGGACCGCCUGGGAAGUACGGUCGCAAGGCUAAAACUCAAAGGAAUUGACGGGGGCUCACACAAGCGGUGGAGCAUGUGGUUCAAUUCGAAGCAACGCGCAGAACCUUACCUGGGCUUGACAUGCUCGGAUUACCCUCGUGAAAGCGAGGUAGGCCCCGCAAGGGGUACAACGAGUACAGGUGCUGCAUGGCUGUCGUCAGCUCGUGUCGUGAGAUGUCGGGUUAAGUCCCUUAACGAGCGAAACCUUUACCCUUAGUUACCAGCGGGUUAUGCCGGGGACUCUAAGGGGACCGCCGGUGUCGAACCGGAGGAAGGUGGAGAUGACGUCAAGUCCUCAUGGCCUUUAUGACCAGGGCUACACACGUGCUACAGUGGCCGGUACAAAGCGUUGCCAACUCGCGAGAGGGAGCUAAUCGCAUAAAAACCGGUUUCAGUUCAGAUUGGAGUCUGCAACUCGACUCC